CGUGCGCGUGCGUAUUGGAUGGAGUAGGCGGGCGUUGAGCGGGACGGUUGCUGCAUCGGCCGCCGUUACCGUUUUAUGUUUGUGGCCGGCGUGAAGGGAAAAGACGUGCCGGCGGGCAGACUCUCUGUUCUGGCGAGGGAGGAGUGAGGGGAUAAAAGACAGUCCCAGAUGGUGGUGGUGGUGAUGGUCAGGUCUGGAAGAUGCUGAUUAAGGAGGCUUGGUGAAUUUCUGCAGUGCAUCUGUAAAUGGUACACACUACUACUGAGUGGCGGUGGAGGGAGUGAAUGUUUGCAGAUGUGCUACCGAUCAAGCAGGCUGCUUUGCCUCGGAUGGACAAGGCAGUGGAAGUGUGUGAAACCCGAAUGAGUUUGAAGAAAACAAAGUCAUUUCUCAAGAAGGAGGAAUCAGGGAUAUGACAUUCUGGUUUCUUGUCUCCUUGGUCCCUUCCAGAAUUAAAAUUUAUCAGGGUAAGAAAAAGUACUAAUUGUCAUUGCAUCAAUUUUUUAAAAGCAAAAUAUAAAUGGAUGUUAGAUGUUCAUAGUUGGUUAGCUUAUUUUAACAGUUGGAU